rnacentral:misc_RNA from 1 species
CCGGGAUGCAGAUGUCAGAGCUCUUGCAAACAAGGAUCGAAUUGGAAGGGUAUUGAAUUUAGGAGGCAGGUCUUUUCCAUCAUUUCCAAUGGAUGCAUGGAUAGGCAAAUUCGCAACUUUAGCAACAAAAUCAUGCUCCUCGACUUCAAUGAGGCAUGAUUUUUCAUGGAAUUCAGGGAUUGACNUCAUGGAAUUCAGAGGUUGACAAUAAAAUUAAAGAAUGAUGAGGAUAAUAUUCUUGAAGCAUCCCAAG